GGGAAACUGCCUGAUGGAGGGGGAUAACUACUGGAAACGGUAGCUAAUACCGCAUAACGUCGUAAGACCAAAGAGGGGGACCUUCGGGCCUCUUGCCAUCAGAUGUGCCCAGAUGGGAUUAGCUAGUAGGUGGGGUAACGGCUCACCUAGGCGACGAUCCCUAGCUGGUCUGAGAGGAUGACCAGCCACACUGGAACUGAGACACGGUCCAGACUCCUACGGGAGGCAGCAGUGGGGAAUAUUGCACAAUGGGCGCAAGCCUGAUGCAGCCAUGCCGCGUGUAUGAAGAAGGCCUUCGGGUUGUAAAGUACUUUCAGCGGGGAGGAAGGUGUUGAGGUUAAUAACCUCAGCAAUUGACGUUACCCGCAGAAGAAGCACCGGCUAACUCCGUGCCAGCAGCCGCGGUAAUACGGAGGGUGCAAGCGUUAAUCGGAAUUACUGGGCGUAAAGCGCACGCAGGCGGUCUGUCAAGUCGGAUGUGAAAUCCCCGGGCUCAACCUGGGAACUGCAUUCGAAACUGGCAGGCUGGAGUCUUGUAGAGGGGGGUAGAAUUCCAGGU
rnacentral:rRNA from 1 species